UACGUAGGGUCCAAGCGUUAUCCGGAAUCACUGGGCGUAAAGCGUGCGUAGGUGGAUUGUUAAGUGCGAUGCGAAAUCCUGGGGCUCAACCCCAUGGACUGUAUAGCAUACUGGCAAUCUAGAGGACAUGAGAGGCAAGUGGAAUUACUGGUGUAGCAGUGAAAUGCGUAGAUAUCAGGAGGAACACCGGUGGCGAAGGCGGCUACCUGGACAGAGUCUGACGCUGAGGCACGAAGGCCAGGGGAGCAAACGGG
rnacentral:rRNA from 1 species